rnacentral:rRNA from 1 species
GACAGAGGUGCCGAGCGUUAGGCGGAAUCACUGGGCUUAAAGCGUGUGUAGGCGGAUGCCUAAGUACCUUGUGAAAUCCCACGGCUCAACCGUGGAACUGCUUGGUAUACUGCUUAUCUUGGGCCAUCUAGGGGCGAGCGGAACAAACGGUGGAGCGGUGAAAUGCGUAGAUAUCGUUUGGAACGCCAAUGGUGAAAACAGCUCGCUGGGGAUGUGCCGACGCUGAGAUACGAAAGCCAGGGGAGCGAACGGG